ACUCUCGCGUUGUGUUGGGGUGCGCAUGAGGGUUUCAUCGCAUCAUCGCGUGAUUUCAUAGCGCACAAACGAUCCUCCGCACCUUUCGCCACAUGACAAUUCGGCGUUCGGCAUUCCAGUAGGACAAGUCAUUAUGAGGGGAGAGCACAAAACAGCAGCAGGCCCGGCAGAUGUAAGAAAGGAGCGCUGAGAUCACUGCAAAAGAAAAAAAAAAUCAGUCGAAAAGUGAAAAGUGAAGGCAUACAUAGCGCAGCACAUGGCAACAAUAAUAAAGCUGGGAGGGAAAUCAGCUCAACAAGCUAUGCUUAAUUGAGCACUUAGGCUAAGUAGUGAAGGGGCACAAAGAGAGUGACCCUGUUAGAAAAUUCAAGUUUGCAGUUGUGAGAAUGGAGAACAGUGCGCGUGCGUGCGUGCGUCUGAAUUGUGUAUUCGUGCAAAGUAAAUGACCGCAUGUGUGUCCGUGCUGCCACGAAAUGCUCAAAAGUGUGCGUUUAUUCGUUUGUUUGUGCGCGUGUGUGCAUCCGAGUGGGAAACUAGUGCCGGGAAAUUGGCUAUAAUUUGCUCGUGUGGACAUGCGUGCACAUGCAUCAGAGGAAAUAGAUAUAUUUAAGCGAGUGUGUGUGCGUGUCGAUUAUGUUUUUUUGUAUAUUUUUGUGCCUUCAAAGUCGUAAUUAAGUCACAGUAGGAACAAGGUCUUCCUUUGGAGAGCUGCUGCCUGUCACCCCUCCAUCCCUGAUAGGAUGCUGUAGGAAUAAUAGCAAUAAAACUGAACUUUUCUUUUCUUUUUUCCAAAUUUCAGCUUCAAGCCACAGCAUGCCCUCUGUUUAUCCUCUACCACCUUGUUCCUCAUGAACAUUGACGUGUGUUGAAAAGUCUUGAAUUGGGCAUUUAACCUCCUGCCCUGGAACUCCUAGCCACAGUUGGUAGCAGGUCAGACCUAGAGGGAACCACUGGAUGGAUUCCUAAUGCUGAUUUUUCAGCCUCACUGGCUUUUGGAUCUCUUGUUUAAUAGCUUUUGUUUUGUUACAGGAAAUUUUCAGGGUGGGAAAAAACCAAAAAACCAAAAGAAAAAAAGAAUCAAGGCCACAGCAAACGUCGUGUUAUUUCAACUGAAUCUGAUACAAGAGUUCAGAUACAGUAAUUACAAACCCGCCGUGCUCCUGCUGUAAGCACUGAAAUAUAAAUAAACAUAAUAAGUACUGUCAAAAAAACAAAAAAACAAAAACCGGACAAACUAAAAACCCCUGAAUUACAUGGCUAACUGUGUGUGUGUGUGUGCAUUGUCUGCCCUGUGAUUCUCUGGAUGAGCUGGAAAUUUACAACACAGGUUUUUGUUUUUUUCUUACAGUAAGCCCCAGCCAAAAACUGUAAUUCUUUCUUCUCUUUUUUAGCUCCGCACUUGUGGAGACAGACUUGCCCACUUUGGGUUAACUCUAUCAAGAUGAACAGCAUUUGGGCCAGCGGAGUAAUCAUAAUGUAAUUUGUUGUGCUCACGGGCCAAUUUGUGUCUUUUCAGAGGAUCCAUCCAGUCCCGUGCCUGGUGGCCAUGCGAGCCCUGGGGCAAGGCUUUAAUUAGAGAAGCUCAAAUUUAUGGACACUUUGUAUUAUUUCUGAUCCUGAGCGGUUGGAGGAUGACAUACUUAUGAGGAAAAAGGCAUGGCUGGCAGAGGACGGAGGAAAAAUUUGAUAAUGAGAAACAAAACUGAAUGAAAGGUCACGUUAGGAAUUUGUUUACCAUUUCAUUAUCAUUUUUCAAAAUCAAAGAGUGGGAAUCAAAGCAGGCACAAAUGCCACAGUCUGGAAAGAGUUUAUGAAGAGCAGUGAGAGGUAUGCACCAGUUCUCUUCAAUUUGUUUGAAGCAAAAGCGAUGCAGUGGAGGUUUUAAAGGAGCACUGUGUUAAGUGUGUUAAUGUUCAUCUGCUGGUGAGGCCCUGAGGUUGAAGAGUUGGGCUUUAAAUUGAUCUGGUUUUGAUUUCUGACAUAAAUUUAAAAGAGAGAGAGAGAGAGAGAGAGAGAGACAGUAAAACAUCUGUGAGGAGAGAAGAAGAAAAGAAAUCUGGGCUUUUCAAAUUUUGGCAUUAAUUUGCUGCACAGCUAUUUAACGAGGAUUAAAAUGUUUUGCCUUCAGAGGAGAAUCUGAUCCAGAUAUUUCAGGAAUAUAAUGACUCAGAUAGAGUGACUAGAGGGCAGAAGAGAGCCAUCCUGGUGCUUUUUAAUCCACCUUCUGUGAGUCAAAGCGUCUCCCUGGUGGAUUUUUUUUUUAAGGUAAUAUGAAGAUGGAUAACUUUGCUGAUACCUUCACGUGUAUGUGCAAAUAAUUCCACUUAACCAAGACAUGCAACCCUUAAAAUAUGACAUUAUCCCCUCACAUCUGUGUCCACUUUGCUGCAGGUAUAAUUGGAAAUGUUAAUAUCACCAGCACAAGUAGCUCACAAAGCAGACAUUCGCUCUGAGAGGCCUCCAGGCUUCCAUUCAGCACACCCUUGACUCUUGAAAUAGCUUCACCCCACGCUGAGGAUCCAAAAUCGUGACUCAGAUGCGACACAGAGCGUAUUUUCUAUGGCCUGUGCGAGUUUUAAAACAAGAGGAGUCCACACCAGGAUGCGUUUGAAGCCGAUCCAGGACUGUGAAAGCUGUGGACGGAGACAAGGUUAAGCUAUCAGCUGGGCAGCUCUGUAAUCAGAGGCUCUGACAGAUGCUUUCUCGAUAAGAAUCCCCCCAGAAGCUCUUGGAGGAACACACAGGCGGACAGCUGUUUCUAUAGCGAGGCACUGAUGUCUUCAAAAGGAGAAUCCAACAAUAACUGUAGAGACAGAGCACAAGUCCUCCUCCAGUCUGGGAAAGCAGGUUUGCACGUGGAAUUAGUCACCAAGUCUCCCCCCUCCAGUCUUCGCCUGUACCGCACAAGAAGAAAUCUUCUGAGAGCUCCAUUGGUGUUCUGGUCUUUUCCUGAAUUGCGGUACUCUCGGGUGUGUUUCAUAAUGGUACUUGGAGCGUUGCAGGCCUGAUAUAUCGUACCCAAGGGAGAAGCUGCACUCUGCACCAAUCUAUCAGCCCCUGAGUCUGAGGAAGGCAGAAUGACACCGCGAUUAUAACCCCCAUCAUAUUCAGAACUGACUUUAAAUUGAGGCUUUUUUUUCUUCCACCCGUUGAGGGAGACUUCUUGACUGAUCAUACGCAGGCAUCUGUGGUUUUGCAGCUUUUGUUUUUAUUGUGAUUACUUGAGGAAAUGUUGUGUUAGUAAAAUAUUUUCUGCAGGGUUAUUUCAUUGUAGUCCCUCGCUCGUUCUGUGCGCUGCUGUAUAAACAGCAGAAUGUAAGUAGAUCUGUUAUUAGUCCACCAGUUGUCAGUUUGCUUUAUUUGAAUAGUCCAUUGAUAUUUACAUCACCCAAACCUUCACAUUUAAUACAUUUAUUGUUCUAACUGUAAUAAUGAUUGUAAAAAUAUUGCCCAUACUAAUUUUUUUGCAAACUUUACUCGAUACAAUAACACCAUGGCUCUUGGCUUUUUCUUUAAGUGGAAGGGAGACAAGGUAAUUACCCUUGGGGCAAUUAGAGAAAGGGGCUGAGGGAGUAGCAAAGUCAUUUUCUAACCCAAACAUCCUGGUCCGAGGGGCCGGAGUGGCUGGACAGCCUCCUGGAGGCCGCUGGCUGGGCUCGCUGGGAGCCGUUCGCGGGGAAGCAGAUCAGGGUUUGUUUUCUUUCUCUGGAGGCAGGCCUCUGAAACUCCUGCCAGAUGAAGUGCACCUGAAACGCAGCAGCUCUCCCAGCACCGUCAGCAGAGGGAGUGAUUUACUGUACGCGGCCAGGCGUGCCUGCCUGCAUGAAAUCCUUUAGUCAGCUCCAGCACGUCGUGGGGAUCAGGGAGGGAGCAGGUCGCUGGUUUUCUCUGCAGCUUCUUGAGGGAGGCUUGAAAAUGUUUGUGCGGAUCUAUAAACACGCUCAGCCCACAUAAUGUUGUCUGCUUAUUGCACUAUGCAAUAUGCUGGCAGUAUGCAGAGAAAACAAAUAAGCCUGCUGAGGAACUGAGGGAAUGUGAGAAGCAAAUCCUGUGGGUUGAAUCUUUAAUCUGAACUGCAACUCAUCAUUCAUUCAUUCAUUUUGGCUUUUGCAAUCAGAGUUUCCAUUCAAUGCAUUUUUUCUACCGUGUUAUUGACAUCCCUGUCUCUUACUCAACAAGAAGAAAACAAAUCUAUUAAAAAAAACAAUAAUUUUGAUUAUUUGGCUUUACAAGAAGAACAUGAAGUCACAUAAAAUUAUAAAAAUUGGAUAAGAUUGACACAUUUAGUCCAACACUUACUUCAGGUUUGGUUUUGAUAUCCUAGUCCUGCUUUCAUGGUGACAUUAUAUGUUUAAAUGCUUAAAAUACAAAUACAUGGAUUAUUAUUUUUUAAAGUAACAUGACAAACCUUUUAUCUAAAGGUCGAAUAAAUGUUAGCUUGGUCGAUUUCUGAGUCCAAUAUUCAAUAUUUUUCUGAUUAUAGGUGUCAUUAUUCUGAGUAAAUUACUAUAAAAAUG